UACGUAGGGGGCUAGCGUUGUCCGGAAUCAUUGGGCGUAAAGAGCGUGUAGGCGGUCCGGUAAGUCCGUUGUGAAAGUCAGGGGCUCAACCCUUGAAUGCCGGCGGAUACUGUCGGGCUAGAGUCCGGAAGAGGCAAGUGGAAUUCCCGGUGUAGCGGUGAAAUGCGCAGAUAUCGGGAGGAACACCUAUGGCGAAAGCGGCGCACUGGACCACAACUGACGCUGAGGCGCGAAAGCUAGGGGAGCAAACAGG
rnacentral:rRNA from 1 species